rnacentral:rRNA from 1 species
GCGUCGAGCGGCGGACGGGUGAGUAAUGCCUAGGAAAUUGCCCUGAUGUGGGGGAUAACCAUUGGAAACGAUGGCUAAUACCGCAUGAUGCCUACGGGCCAAAGAGGGGGACCUUCGGGCCUCUCGCGUCAGGAUAUGCCUAGGUGGGAUUAGCUAGUUGGUGAGGUAAUGGCUCACCAAGGCGACGAUCCCUAGCUGGUCUGAGAGGAUGAUCAGCCACACUGGAACUGAGACACGGUCCAGACUCCUACGGGAGGCAGCAGUGGGGAAUAUUGCACAAUGGGCGCAAGCCUGAUGCAGCCAUGCCGCGUGUGUGAAGAAGGCCUUCGGGUUGUAAAGCACUUUCAGUCGUGAGGAAGGUAGUGUAGUUAAUAGCUGCAUUAUUUGACGUUAGCGACAGAAGAAGCACCGGCUAACUCCGUGCCAGCAGCCGCGGUAAUACGGAGGGUGCGAGCGUUAAUCGGAAUUACUGGGCGUAAAGCGCAUGCAGGUGGUUUGUUAAGUCAGAUGUGAAAGCCCGGGGCUCAACCUCGGAAUAGCAUUUGAAACUGGCAGACUAGAGUACUGUAGAGGGGGGUAGAAUUUCAGGUGUAGCGGUGAAAUGCGUAGAGAUCUGAAGGAAUACCGGUGGCGAAGGCGGCCCCCUGGACAGAUACUGACACUCAGAUGCGAAAGCGUGGGGAGCAAACAGGAUUAGAUACCCUGGUAGUCCACGCCGUAAACGAUGUCUACUUGGAGGUUGUGGCCUUGAGCCGUGGCUUUCGGAGCUAACGCGUUAAGUAGACCGCCUGGGGAGUACGGUCGCAAGAUUAAAACUCAAAUGAAUUGACGGGGGCCCGCACAAGCGGUGGAGCAUGUGGUUUAAUUCGAUGCAACGCGAAGAACCUUACCUACUCUUGACAUCCAGAGAACUUUCCAGAGAUGGAUUGGUGCCUUCGGGAACUCUGAGACAGGUGCUGCAUGGCUGUCGUCAGCUCGUGUUGUGAAAUGUUGGGUUAAGUCCCGCAACGAGCGCAACCCUUAUCCUUGUUUGCCAGCGAGUAAUGUCGGGAACUCCAGGGAGACUGCCGGUGAUAAACCGGAGGAAGGUGGGGACGACGUCAAGUCAUCAUGGCCCUUACGAGUAGGGCUACACACGUGCUACAAUGGCGCAUACAGAGGGCAGCAAGCUAGCGAUAGUGAGCGAAUCCCAAAAAGUGCGUCGUAGUCCGGAUUGGAGUCUGCAACUCGACUCCAUGAAGUCGGAAUCGCUAGUAAUCGUGGAUCAGAAUGCCACGGUGAAUACGUUCCCGGGCCUU